UCUGUUUAAAUAUAGAAACUCUGGAGCAUUUUAUUAUAAAAGAAUAGUGCUUGAAAGCUCCUUAAAGAGGUAACUACAAGAGUGACUAUACGAAGAAGAUGCUAUGAUUAACAAUAGCAGCUUAAAGUCAUUUCUGCAGCUUUGGAAAUUGUUCCCCAAGUCAAACAGCAGUACAUAUUGGCAAUAAGUUAAAGGACUGUCUUUCCUGUGAGUGCAGAAUACCAGCAGUUCUCAUCUUGCUCCCAGCUACCUGUUUCUGAAGCUCAGGUCCAGAGCAUCCACGGAGACUAGCAUAUCUGAAAUACAUCAUGAAAACAACAUUUUGAGAUGCAAAAUGGUAGAAAACUCAAAUUCCCACAGAAUCCAGUUUGUGGAGGAAUACACAAUGAAUUUUCCCAGUGCAUCCCAGAAUGGAAGUCUAUCUUAAAGGAGAAUUUGAUGUCCUUGUUCAAUCUGAAGACACAAAGUCUAUAGUAGGUGAAUUCUACUUCAUAGUGUAUUAAACCACUGGUAAGUUAUUUACUCCUUUUUAUCCUUCCAUUCUGAACUUAGUGUGAGGAUUAAGGCAAAU